AUAUCAAUAAGCGGAGGAAAAGAAACCAACAGGGAUUGCCUUAGUAACGGCGAGUGAAGCGGCAAAAGCUCAAAUUUGAAAUCUGGCGUCUUCGGCGUCCGAGUUGUAAUUUGAAGAAGGCUACUUUGGAGCUGGAGUUUGUCUAAGUUCCUUGGAACAGGACGUCACAGAGGGUGAGAAUCCCGUGAGAUAAGCUUCCCAGUUCUAUGUAAAGUGCUUUCGAAGAGUCGAGUUGUUUGGGAAUGCAGCUCUAAGUGGGUGGUAAAUUCCAUCUAAAGCUAAAUAUUGGCGAGAGACCGAUAGCGAACAAGUACAGUGAUGGAAAGAUGAAAAGAACUUUGAAAAGAGAGUGAAAAAGUACGUGAAAUUGUUGAAAGGGAAGGGCUUGAGAUCAGACAUGGUAUUUUGUAAACCUUCUCUCUCGUGGAGGGGGCCCCUUGCAGUUUACUGGGCCAGCAUCAGUUUGGGCGGUAGGAUAAUGACUAAGGAAUGUGACUUGCCUUCGGGGAAGUGUUAUAGCCUUGGUUGAUACUGCCAGCCUAGACUGAGGACCGCGUCUUUGACAAGGAUGUUGGCAUAAUGAUCUUAAGCCA
rnacentral:rRNA from 1 species